rnacentral:rRNA from 1 species
GAUGAACGCUGGCGGCGUGCCUAAUACAUGCAAGUCGAGCGAACAGAUGAGGAGCUUGCUCCUCUGACGUUAGCGGCGGACGGGUGAGUAACACGUGGAUAACCUACCUAUAAGACUGGGAUAACUUCGGGAAACCGGAGCUAAUACCGGAUAAUAUAUUGAACCGCAUGGUUCAAUAGUGAAAGACGGUUUUGCUGUCACUUAUAGAUGGAUCCGCGCCGCAUUAGCUAGUUGGUAAGGUAACGGCUUACCAAGGCGACGAUGCGUAGCCGACCUGAGAGGGUGAUCGGCCACACUGGAACUGAGACACGGUCCAGACUCCUACGGGAGGCAGCAGUAGGGAAUCUUCCGCAAUGGGCGGAAGCCUGACGGAGCAACGCCGCGUGAGUGAUGAAGGUCUUCGGAUCGUAAAACUCUGUUAUUAGGGAAGAACAAAUGUGUAAGUAACUAUGCACGUCUUGACGGUACCUAAUCAGAAAGCCACGGCUAACUACGUG